rnacentral:rRNA from 1 species
UAAAGAACCUGCCUCAUAGACUGGGACAACUAUUGGAAACGAUAGCUAAUACCGGAUAACAGCAUUAACUGCAUGGUUGAUGUUUAAAAGUUGGUUUUGCUAACACUAUGAGAUGGCUUUGCGGUGCAUUAGCUAGUUGGUGGGGUAAAGGCCUACCAAGGCGACGAUGCAUAGCCGACCUGAGAGGGUGAUCGGCCACACUGGGACUGAGACACGGCCCAG